rnacentral:tRNA from 1 species
AAGAGUUUAGUUGAAUAACAACAUUAAAUUGCAGAUUUAAAAGUGUGUAAUACAAUUCUUU